GUGAAUGUGAGCAUGAGCAGAGUCUGUGGGGAGCAGGGUCAGAAUGCCUGGCCUGCCUGGAGAAGAGGGUCUCCCUUGGAAAUCAGUGGCAUUUGCUCACCAGCAAUGAGGUCCUGAGCCUGGAACGCAGCGGGAGGAAGAUGUAGACGUGGUCUCUCCAGGAGGAAAGAUUAUGAAAAGAUCUGCGUGGAAAUUGGCGCAAAGCACCCUGGGCUGGUGGCGUCUUGCAUGAGUAUUUGCUUAGAAGAAGUAACAUGCUUUGCAGCAACACGGAUGGACCUGGAGAUCAUCUUACUAAGUGAAGUAAGCCAAGACACAGGGAAAGGGAAAG